rnacentral:rRNA from 1 species
AUUGAACGCUGGCGGCAGGCCUAACACAUGCAAGUCGAGCGGAGCGGCGGGCGGGUGGGUAAGGCCUGGGAAUGUGCCUGGUAGAGGGGGAUAACGUACGGAAACGGGCGCUAGUACCUCAUACUCUCAGAUGAGCCUAGGUCGGAGUAGCUAGUUGGUGGGGUAAGGGCUUACCAAGGCGACGAUCCGUAACUGGUCUGAGAGGAUGAUCAGUCACACUGGAACUGAGACACGGUCCAGACUCCUACGGGAGGCAGCAGUGGGGAAUAUUGGACAAUGGGCGAAAGCCUGAUCCAGCCAUGCCGCGUGUGUGAAGAAGGUCUUCGGAUUGUAAAGCACUUUAAGUUGGGAGGCGUUACCAACAGAAUAAGCACCGGCUAACUUCGUGCCAGCAGCCGCGGUAAUAC